rnacentral:rRNA from 1 species
UCCUACGGGACGCAGCAGUGGGGAAUAUUGGACAAUGGGGGAAACCCUGAUCCAGCGACGCCGCGUGAGUGAAGAAGUAUUUCGGUACGUAAAGCUCUAUCAGCAGGAAAGAAAAUGACGGUACCUGACUAAGAAGCCCCGGCUAACUACGUGCCAGCAGCCGCGGUAAUACGUAGGGGCAAGCGUUAUCCGGAUUUACUGGGUGUAAAGGGAGCGUAGACGGCAGUGCAAGUCUGAAGUGAAAGCCCCGGGCUUAACCCGGGAACUGCUUUGGAAACUGUACGGCUGGAGUGCUGGAGAGGUAA